CAACUUUCAACAACGGAUCUCUUGGUUCUGGCAUCGAUGAAGAACGCAGCGAAAUGCGAUAAGUAGUGUGAAUUGCAGAAUUCAGUGAAUCAUCGAAUCUUUGAACGCACAUUGCGCCCCUUGGUAUUCCAUGGGGCAUGCCUGUUCGAGCGUCAUU
rnacentral:rRNA from 44 species